GAUGAACGCUGGCGGCGUGCCUAAUACAUGCAAGUCGAGCGAACGGACGAGAAGCUUGCUUCUCUGAUGUUAGCGGCGGACGGGUGAGUAACACGUGGAUAACCUACCUAUAAGACUGGGAUAACUUCGGGAAACCGGAGCUAAUACCGGAUGAUAUUUUGAACCGCAUGGUUCAAAAGUGAAAGACGGUCUUGCUGUCACUUAUAGAUGGAUCCGCGCUGCAUUAGCUAGUUGGUAAGGUAACGGCUUACCAAGGCAACGAUGCAUAGCCGACCUGAGAGGGUGAUCGGCAACACUGGAACUGAGACACGGUCCAGACUCCUACGGGAGGCAGCAGUAGGGAAUCUUCCGAAAGGGGCGAAAGCCUGACGGAGAAACGCCGCGUGAGUGAUGAAGGUCUUCGGAUCGUAAAACUCUGUUAUUAGGGAAGAACAUAUGUGUAAGUAACUGUGCACAUCUUGACGGUACCUAAUCAGAAAGCCACGGCUAACUACGUG
rnacentral:rRNA from 1 species